CAGCAGCCGCGGGAAUACGUAGGUGGCAAGCGUUGUCCGGAAUUAUUGGGCGUAAAGCGCGCGCAGGCGGAUAGGUCAGUCUGUCUUAAAAGUUCGGGGCUUAACCCCGUGAGGGGAUGGAAACUGCUGAUCUAGAGUAUCGGAGAGGAAAGUGGAAUUCCUAGUGUAGCGGUGAAAUGCGUAGAUAUUAGGAAGAACACCAGUGGCGAAGGCGACUUUCUGGACGAAAACUGACGCUGAGGCACGAAAGCGUGGGGAGCAAACAGGAUUAGAUACCCCAGUAGUCCCUGUCUCUUAUACA
rnacentral:rRNA from 1 species